AGUGAACGCUGGCGGUAGGCCUAACACAUGCAAGUCGAACGGCAGCACAGUAAGAGCUUGCUCUUACGGGUGGCGAGUGGCGGACGGGUGAGGAAUACAUCGGAAUCUACUUUUUCGUGGGGGAUAACGUAGGAAAACUUACGCUAAUACCGCAUACGACCUACGGGUGAAAGCAGGGGAUCUUCGGACCUUGCGCGAUUGAAUGAGCCGAUGUCGGAUUAGCUAGUUGGCGGGGUAAAGGCCCACCAAGGCGACGAUCCGUAGCUGGUCUGAGAGGAUGAUCACCCACACUGGAACUGAGACACGGUCCAGACUCCUACGGGAGGCAGCAGUGGGGAAUAUUGGACAAUGGGCGCAAGCCUGAUCCAGCCAUACCGCGUGGGUGAAGAAGGCCUUCGGGUUGUAAAGCCCUUUUGUUGGGAAAGAAAAGCAGCAGGUUAAUACCCCGCUGUUCUGACGGUACCCAAAGAAUAAGCACCGGCUAACUUCGUG
rnacentral:rRNA from 1 species